rnacentral:tRNA from 1 species
GUAGUUCAGCUGGUUAGAAUACAUGCCUGUCACGCAUGGGGUCGCGGGUUCGAGUCCCGUCCA